rnacentral:lncRNA from 1 species
ACCUGUGCUUCCCCUUAUAUAACCUUGUUACCAUGGGAACCUAGGUGGAGGGGGGUCGUUUCUGCCAGAUGGGGCAACUGAAAAUGUGUCUUCCAGUUUCCUGAUUUUAUUGAUGGCCGGGGAAACUCAGUAGCUGCUGAUAUGCUUGCUGAAGUCGCCAUAUGAAGUCGAAUGUUGUGUGGCUGGAGGGAUGUUGUGGAGGGUUUUGUCCAUCCCAGACACUGUCUCCUGGUGGAGGAUUCAUAGGAAAGGGCACAUUGAAAAUGUCAGGAACUCCCCAAGAUGCCAUUCUUGACCUGCCACCUGGUCCUGCUCACUGGUUGGCUUGGCUAAUUUCAGGCUCCUGUUACAUGUGGUUGUUGAACUUGGGCCUGAAAUCUAACAGCUCCUGGCUCUUAGAAUCUUAGGAGGGGCAGUUAGCCACAUGCCGGGUGGAGUUGUGGGGUGUGGGGCUGGACUUUUUGGAGCCUCAGUUGAAGGAACAAGUUGCAAGUGGGUGAAAAUAACACAUCAGGGCCAGGAGUCCAUCUGAAGAGGGGGCUUCCUGAAGCGAAGGUCCACGUGCUUCUGUGUGGCCUCCCCACGGUCCCUCCGUGAGGGUGGAGGCCAGGGACUUGAAGAAACAGGAUCUUGCCCAGGCCCGUUCUCCAUCUGUAUUUACAUUCUUAAGGCUCUCUAGAUGGAUUUUUCUGUGAUCUGACCUACUUUCCUUUAGCGAGUGUGCUUGGGCUAAUUAGCAGCACGGGGUCCAUUGGUCCUGUUUAGAGAGUUUUGCUGCUAUGGCAACUGGAGACUUCCUGAGGCUGGAGUGAAAGAUAAAGCCACUCAAGUUUGUUUUUCUUGGGGUGUCAGAGGUGCCUCAAAUGACUUGCCCUUUCUGACUAUGGCCCAGUCCCUUGGACCCUAAUGGGAUUUAAGAGCCUAUACCACGUAGUUUCUCUCUCAAUUACAGGGGUCUGGCGGGUUUGCUGAUCCUGCUAGUAUGUGUCAGUAAGAAACUUGAAAAUAGACUCAUCUUAUUCGACAUUUGUAGGCCAGACACAUGCGAAGUGCAUUAAUAUAUAUGGAAUUGCUAAUUGUUCUAGAAAUGAUAGUGCCUUCCUUGAUUUACCCAGGGUUCUAGGAUGUCUUGGGGACCUCAGUAGGAAGGCUGGCGGUGGAGCCCAUCUAAGUGCCCUAGCCUACCUUUCGUGUCUUAGAAUAGCCAUGCUCUGGUCGAAAGCUGGCCAGAGGGG